CAGCCGUAAACUAUGCUCGCUAGGUGUCAGGCAUGGCGCGACCGUGUCUGGUGCCGCAGGGAAGCCGUGAAGCGAGCCACCUGGGAAGUACGGCCGCAAGGCUGAAACUUAAAGGAAUUGGCGGGGGAGCACAACAACGGGUGGAGCCUGCGGUUUAAUUGGACUCAACGCCGGGAAGCUCACCGGAUAAGACAGCGGAAUGAUUGCCGGGCUGAAGACUCUGCAUGACUAGCUGAGAGGAGGUGCAUGGCGUCAGUGACU
rnacentral:rRNA from 1 species